rnacentral:rRNA from 1 species
AUUGAACGCUGGCGGCAUGCCUUACACAUGCAAGUCGAACGGCAGCGGGCCUUCGGGUGCCGGCGAGUGGCGAACGGUGAGUAAUGCAUCGGAACGUGCCAUUGAGUGGGGGAUAACGUAGCGAAAGUUACGCUAAUACCGCAUAUUCUGUGAGCAGGAAAGCAGGGGACCGCAAGGCCUUGCGCUCUUUGAGCGGCCGAUGUCAGAUUAGCUAGUUGGUGAGGUAAAGGCUUACCAAGGCGACGAUCUGUAGCGGGUCUGAGAGGAUGAUCCGCCACACUGGAACUGAGACACGGUCCAGACUCCUACGGGAGGCAGCAGUGGGGAAUUUUGGACAAUGGGCGCAAGCCUGAUCCAGCCAUGCCGCGUGAGUGAAGAAGGCCUUCGGUGU